rnacentral:rRNA from 1 species
UACGAAGGGGGCGAGCGUUGUUCGGAAUUACUGGGCGUAAAGGGCGCGCAGGCGGCUCUGAAAGUCAGAUGUGAAAGCCCCGGGCUUAACCUGGUAAUGGCAUUGGAAACUGGCGAGCUUGAGUGCGGCAGAGGGGGGUGGAAUUCCGCGUGUAGCAGUGAAAUGCGUAGAGAUGCGGAGGAACACCGAUGGCGAAGGCAGCCCCCUGGGUCGACACUGACGCUCAGGCACGAAAGCGUGGGGAGCAAACAGG